rnacentral:rRNA from 1 species
GAUAAACGCUGGCGGUGUGCUUAAUGCAUGCAAGUCGAACGGUCCUUCGGGACAGUGGCGAACGGGUGAGUAACGCGUAAGUAACCUGCCCCUAAGUGGGGGAUAACUUCGGGAAACUGGAGCUAAUACCGCAUGUGGUCCUUCUGCAAAAGCGGAAGGAUUAAAGCCUUCGGGUGCUUGGGGAGUGGCUUGCGUCCGAUUAGCUUGUUGGUGAGGUAAUGGCCCACCAAGGCAAUGAUCGGUAGCUGGUCUGAGAGGAUGGCCAGCCACACUGGGACUGAGACACGGCCCAGACUCCUACGGGAGGCAGCAGCAAGGAAUAUUGUGCAAUGGGCGAAAGCCUGACACAGCGACACCGCGUGGGGGAUGAAGGCCUUCGGGUUGUAAACUCCUUUUCUCAGGGAAGAACAAUGACGGUACCUGAGGAAUAAGUCUCGGCUAACUACGUG